CAUAAACAGAUAAAACAGAGGGUAAAGUAGCUGCUCUUCCUUGCCCAAUGGGACAUUCCGGUUUCGCGUAGAAGGGGUUGUGCGCAGACAAUUCUGUUUUGGAAUCAUUUGGUCAUUUUUGGUUAGAAGCGCCGAUGGCUCCCCAAUACGCACAGAGUCUCCGCUUUCGUCUGCCGCCUCUGCUCUUUUUCCUGCAGACGGGAUUCAUCGUAGUAUUUAUUUUUUAUGUUGACAUUGAACAAAAUGUACAAACUAAACAACAUGCAUUCACCAACUAUUACUCAGAAUUUCAGGAUGUUCAUGUGAUGGUGAUUCUGGGUUUUGGCUUUCUGGCCACAUUCCUGGUGCGGUACAGCUUCAGUGGAGCAGGAUUUACCCUCCUAGUGGCAGCCAUGGCUGUCCAGUGGGCAGUUAUCCUGAACGGUGUUGAGUCUAUGUAUCACAGAGGAAAGAUCUGGAUAAAUAUGAGAAGUUUGGUUGUUGCAGAGAUGUGCACAGCUUCCUCCCUCAUUGCCAUAGGUGCUGUCCUUGGGAAGACCAAUCCUGUCCAUCUCCUUCUUAUUGCCCUGUUGGAGAUAUCUGGAUUUGUGCUGAAUGGCUGGCUACUCCAGACAUUCCUAAAGGUGCAGUUUCUGAAUACCAUCAUGCUUCUCCACAUCUUUGGGGCCUUCUUUGGACUGAUGCUAUCAUGGGUCCUGUACAGACAGGGAUCCGAGCAACAGCAUGAGAAAGAGAAAAUUGACCGCAAGACCGGUCUGUUCUCUGUAAUGGGGACUCUGUUCCUGUGGAUGUUCUGGCCCAGUUUUAACUCUGUGCUGGUAGAGGUGGAUCAUCUUGACAGAGGGAGGAACCUGAGAGCUGUCUACAGCACCUACCUGGCCCUGGCAGUCAGUGCCGUCACAGCUGCUGGUUUCUCUGUCCUCACUAGUCCCCAAGGGAAACUCAACCUGUUUCAUAUUCAGAGAUGUACUCUUGCUGGUGGUGUUGCUAUUGGGGUUGCUAUGUCAGCCGUUCAUUUGCCGUGGGUAGCUAUGGCGAUUGGAUUUGCUGCUGCACUGAUAUCAACCUUGGGAUCCCGAUACAUUAAGCCCCUCAUGCUGUUUGCGUUUGAGUGUCAUGACACCUGCGGAGUCCUUAGUGUCCAUGGUCUGCCUGGAAUCCUGGGGUGGAUGGUUCAACUUCUCCUACAGAUCGCUGACUCUGAUGAUCUCACAACGUUUUCUUCUGAAAUGUAAUUUCUGGAGGCCACCCCAGAACAAGAAAUUCUUUGAUGACCAGGCCUUCUGGGAUUUUCCCCACCUAGGCGGGAAAAAUUGAGAGGUUGGAAAAGAAAAAAGGAACAAGUGUUGAGUGUCAGGAGAGCAAUGAACCAAUGCAUCAUUUCAACCAUACAAUAUUCCCAUGCAUCUUCAACUUAUUACAUUUUUCAAAAUGUGUAGUAUGUGAAACCAGCACUGGAAUAUGUGAUUGUGAUUAUUUUGUGUUAGUCAAACUUUCAAUAUUAGCCAAGAUAAGAGAGAAACUGGCCUGUGAGAGCUGCGAAUAAAGACUUGUCAUCUCGUA